rnacentral:rRNA from 1 species
CGGCGGACGGGUGAGUAAUGUCUGGGAAACUGCCCGAUGGAGGGGGAUAACUACUGGAAACGGUAGCUAAUACCGCAUAAUGUCUACGGACCAAAGCGGGGGACCUCCGGGCCUCGCGCCAUCAGAUGAACCCAUAUGGGAUUAGCUUGUAGGUAAGGUAACGGCUUACCUAGGCGACGAUCCCUAGCUGGUCUGAGAGGAUGACCAGCCACACUGGAACUGAGACACGGUCCAG